rnacentral:sRNA from 1 species
GGGUACACGUGUGUGUGCCCCGACGGCUUUCUGCUCGACUCGUCCCGCAGCAGCUGCAUCUCCCAACACGUGAUCUCAGAGGCCAAAGGGCCCUGCUUCCGCGUGCUCCGCGACGGCGGCUGUUCGCUGCCCAUUCUGCGGAACAUCACUAAACAGAUCUGCUGCUGCAGCCGCGUAGGCAAGGCCUGGGGCCGGGGCUGCCAGCUCUGCCCACCCUUCGGCUCAGAGGGUUUCCGGGAGAUCUGCCCGGCUGGCCCUGGUUACCACUACUCAGCCUCCGACCUCCGCUACAACACCAGACCCCUGGGCCAGGAGCCACCCCGAGUGUCACUCAGCCAGCCUCGUACCCUGCCAGCCACCUCUCGGCCAUCUGCAGGCUUUCUGCCCACCCAUCGCCUGGAGCCCCGGCCUGAACCCCGGCCCGAUCCCCGGCCCGGCCCUGAGCUUCCCUUGCCCAGCAUCCCUGCCUGGACUGGUCCUGAGAUUCCUGAAUCAGGUUUGCUAGAAAGAACUGAGGGCAUUGGGCCUGGAGCAGUGGCUCACGCCUGUAAUCCCAGCAUUUUGGGGGGCUGAGGAGGGUGGAUCACCAGGUCAGGAGUUCGAGACCAGCCUGGCCAACAUGGCGAAACCCUGUCUCUACUAAAACUACAAAAAUUAACUGGGCGUGGUGGCAGAUGCCUGUAAUCCCAGCUACUUGGGAGGCUGAGGCAGGAGAAUCACUUGAACCCAGGAGGCAGAGGUUGCAGUGAGCUGAGAUCAUGCCAUUGCACUCCAGCCUGAGUGACACUCCAUCUCAAAAAAAAAAAAAAAAAA